rnacentral:rRNA from 1 species
UGGGGAAUUUUGGACAAUGGGCGAAAGCCUGAUCCAGCCAUGCCGCGUGAGUGAAGAAGGCCUUCGGGUUGUAAAGCUCUUUUAGUCGGAAAGAAAGAGUUGCAAUGAAUAAUUGUGAUUUAUGACGGUACCGACAGAAAAAGCACCGGCUAACUACGUGCCAGCAGCCGCGGUAAUACGUAGGGUGCGAGCGUUAAUCGGAAUUACUGGGCGUAAAGGGUGCGCAGGCGGUCUUGCAAGUCAGAUGUGAAAGCCCCGGGCUUAACCUGGGAAUUGCGUUUGAAACUACAAGACUAGAGUGCAGCAGAGGGGAGUGGAAUUCCAUGUGUAGCAGUGAAAUGCGUAGAGAUAUGGAAGAACACCGAUGGCGAAGGCAGCUCCCUGGGCUGACACUGACGCUGAUGCACGAAAGCGUGGGGAGCAAACA